AGGAGCGAGGACAUUUCUCCUGUGGCCUUGCCUCCAAUCCACUCUUGGCCAAUAAGGCGUCUUGGGAGGUCGAGUUUCACUAAAACAGAAGGACAUAAUCGUGGCCGUGAGUUGGCAGGAUCUCACAGCCAGUCUCGCCAGCAGGGAGCUCACUUCUUUCAUCUUUUCUGAGGUGCAAGUCCACUGUCGCCAUGUCUGAUACCGAGGACCUUGUUGAGGGUAAGUAAUGUUUGUUUCUUUACAUGCUUUUAUCAUGAGUGUUCUGUUCUACAAUUCCCUAUCAGUCUCAACUGUACAAAGUAAUGAUAGUAAAAUGCAAUGUGUGUUUUCUGGACCAUUGCCAAUGUUUUAUUAAACAGAAAUGUAUUCCUCGUUACAACAAUGAAAACACUACAUUUUCAGGUUUGGCUUGACUCCUAGGGUCCGAGAUGUACACUACUGUACAAACACAGACAUUGACUUACCAUGAUGUGAUACUCUUUUUUUUAAUUUUAUGUAUUUAACCUUUAUACUCUGUUCUAUUGAAUGUGGAAAAGUCUAGCUCUGAUUCCAAACCCUUCUUCCAGUUUGUAGAGAAGGGUUUCCUAUCACAACCUAUACUUACUAAUGCAUGGUUGCAGGCACCAUCAUUUACCACAGGACAUAUUAGACCUACUAGACCUUUCAUGCUCAAUUACAAAAUCUAAAUCAACUCACGUUGAAUAGUAUCGAUCUUCUAGCAACAGGUUCUGCAACUCUGUAUGAGAAACUGUAGUUGCUUGGUCCCCUUUGACUCUGCAUGUCUGAAAGUAAGGGAAGGAUACAAAGGUACUUCACCGUCAUGAUGCAGAUGUAGCUGAACAGCCCCGGCUGAUCGUGUCUUGAGUGUAAACAGCCCCACAGUAGACACAGCUGGGGCUGUUCCACUAUACAUGCUGAUCCUGACUGUGCAGGAGCUAUGGAGGGCAGUGUUGUGUAUGCUUAGCAUGUAUCCAUGCUGAACCCAUAUUUACAGUUUCUUGAAUUGGGUACAGCUUGGAUAUUUUGUUGACAUUUUUGUUUUGCUCCUUUCUUUG